CCGCUCGGGGCCGGCGCCGCCGCAGCGCGGGGAAGGGCUGCGGGCGAGGGAGGAGCGGCCCCGCGGGUGGCCGGGCCGCCCCGGGCGGGGGCAGCCGAGGCCCCGCACACCUGGCAGCAUCUUCCAGGUCCUGGGAGGGCAAGAACAGAAGCCAUCCUGCCACUGCAGAGAAGGGCUGGAGAUCCCUCUGGCAGCAAUACAGCUGGGCCAUCACAGGGCCGCUCCUCUUUGAGAGAACUCAGUCUCUCGAAGAUGAAGUGCUGAGCUGAAAGUAAUCUUCCUUGCUCAGCAAAAUAUUUAGUAGCAGGUCAUUGUAUCAAUACUGAAUGGGAUGGAAGAGAGGAUUCAUCCUUGUGAAACUCAGAAGACCUGCAAAAUGAGUACACAGGAGGUGGAAG